GCAGCAUAGGCCCUUAAUGAUGAAAAAUAUCUCACAUAAGCUAGCUAGCUAGCAAGCAAGCUAGAUAGAUAAAUAGAUUCAUUGAUUCCCAGACUGUCCCUGAAGAAAACAUUUAAGGACAUUUGAAGCAUUUGCUCAUAUGGUGAGUGACUAGCUAGGAUUCCCGGACUGCCUCUGAAGGCAAUAUUACCAACUAUUUGAAUUUGGAUGGAUAUAAAGACAGUUACACAGGACGUUUAAACAUUUGGGACAAUCACACGGUUGUUGUGUGGGGAAAAUUUUAAUUUUUAAGUUUCCCGAAGGCAACACAGGGAUAGACAGAGCGCUUAAAACAGAAAAGAUACACAAUUGCCAACUAUUAGAUAGGGAUAUAAGUUGAGCUAGCUAGAAAAAUUAAACAUUGAAUGACAUUGGGAACAAUGAGUGACUCCCAGAACAAAAAUUGUGACUAUCUUUGAAGGCAACAUCAGACAAGAUGAAGUGAUAUACAUAGAUAGCAAGAUUCUCUUGAUCUUAUCUUUGCCCCCUCGCUUCUCUGCGACAUAGUUGCAACGUUUGACUCACUCCCAAAAACAACGGCAGUGCCGCCAAGUCAGAGAGCUUCGAGCUACACGCUGGCUUCAUCAUCCAACACAAACACACAACAAUGUAAUCAUGAAGGAGGCCCCCUCAAACACGGAGCUGCUGGGUGGGCUGGAACUAUCAUACAUACGACUUGAACAGCAAAGUACAUACACUAAAAGCCCAUUGGAAUUGUGAAAUUAUUUCAAAGACGCACGUGCUAUCCAUAACUCUAAGAGGACAAAAGUAUUGGAACACAGACCUUAAUCAAUCAGAAGUUGAAAGACUCCUUCUCUCUUCUCUUAUGUGUUAUCCAUACUCCACAUUUUCUUCAAUUUGUUCAUGUGUCCCAAUAAUUUUAUUCACAUGAUCUUUUCUGGUGUCUCAAUACAUUUGUCCAAACUCUUCCCGACUUUUGGUGUCCCAAUACAUGAGAUCAUUUUUUUUUCACCACCAAAGCCAAAAGCAAGUCGUCUUGUUUGUUCUGUAGUGAUAAUCAAACCCACCUUUACCCCCUCCCCUUCACGUGUCUUCGCGUUGACCCCAGACACACACACAGAAGAUGACAUCAAAAAAACAAGAGCCCUUCUUUAUGAACUGUGAAUGCGUAUGUGUAUACAUGUGUGUGAGCGUGUCCAUAAAGAAGGGGCUCUUGUUUUUUUGACGGCGGCUCUUCUGUCUUCUUUAAAGGGCUCCAUAAAGACCUGAGCCAAACAAAGACAUUGUUAUCCACUGCAAUCAAGCAGGAAGCACAGAAUCCUCCGAACCUCAUUUCCUUCUGCAGAUGUGCACCCCCCAUCAUCAUCAUCAUCCAGACUCACCCUGCACCUACUUGUGACAGCUGCAGUGAGGCCCGGCAACCAAUGGGUGGCAGAGCAACCCGCGGUAUCAAAACGGUCGAAAUGCGGGUUGAAGUUGAUAAGAAUCUUCUGGCCCGGCUCGGGUGCCGUGAUCACCCAGGCGCACUGCUGCGAGGGUGGGUAGGCGC